AUUCAGCUGACGAGUCGCGAAUAAGACGAAACGCGCUUCCUGAAU
rnacentral:hammerhead_ribozyme from 1 species